UACGGAGGAUGCGAGCGUUAUCCGGAUUUAUUGGGUUUAAAGGGUGCGUAGGCGGACUGUCAAGUCAGCGGUAAAAUUGAGAGGCUCAACCUCUUCCCGCCGUUGAAACUGGUGGUCUUGAGUGGAUGCGAAGUACGCGGAAUGCGUGGUGUAGCGGUGAAAUGCAUAGAUAUCACGCAGAACUCCGAUUGCGAAGGCAGCGUACCGGCAUCCAACUGACGCUGAGGCACGAAAGCGUGGGGAUCAAACAGG
rnacentral:rRNA from 1 species